rnacentral:rRNA from 1 species
UACGUAGAUGGCAAGCGUUGUCCGGAUUUAUUGGGCGUAAAGCGAGCGCAGGCGGUUCUUUAAGUCUGAUGUGAAAGCCCCUGGCUUAACCAGGGAGGGUCAUUGGAAACUGGAGAACUUGAGUGCAGAAGAGGAAAGUGGAAUUCCAUGUGUAGCGGUGAAAUGCGUAGAUAUAUGGAGGAACACCAGUGGCGAAGGCGACUUUCUGGUCUGUAACUGACGCUGAGGCUCGAAAGCAUGGGGAGCAAACAGG